AUUGAACGCUGGCGGCGUGCUUAACACAUGCAAGUCGAACGGUAAGGCCCUUCGGGGUACACGAGUGGCGAACGGGUGAGUAACACGUGGGUGAUCUGCCCUGCACUUCGGGAUAAGCCUGGGAAACUGGGUCUAAUACCGGAUAGGACCACUGCCUGCAUGGGUGGUGGUGGAAAGCUUUUGCGGUGUGGGAUGGGCCCGCGGCCUAUCAGCUUGUUGAUGGGGUGAUGGCCUACCAAGGCGACGACGGGUAGCCGGCCUGAGAGGGUAACCGGCCACACUGGGACUGAGAUACGGCCCAGACUCCUACGGGAGGCAGCAGUGGGGAAUAUUGCACAAUGGGCGCAAGCCUGAUGCAGCGACGCCGCGUGAGGGAUGACGGCCUUCGGGUUGUAAACCUCUUUCAGCACCGACGAAGCGCAAGUGACGGUAGGUGCAGAAGAAGGACCGGCCAACUACGUGCCAGCCGCCGCAGUAA
rnacentral:rRNA from 1 species